GGCACCUGGUGACAAUACCUAGGAGACCACACUAAUGUCAGUCCUCUGCUCUGCUCUGUAGGCUGGAGGGGCCAUGCACGCACAGAUCUCCAAGGUUGAUGCCAUCAUCAGGGGAGAUGCCCAGGCAGAAGCCUCUGGACUCAAAACCCUGCAGUGACCUCAUGCACUGGGGCAUCGCGUCUGUGGUGACCUCAGACAUGAGCUUUUGGAACAGUCACCCCAGUGACUUUCUCUCAUUCAUCUAAACCCAUGAACACUUCGGGGUUUCAACCCAAUGUACUGCCUUCAGAAGUUGCGUGCCUUGGCCAGGACGUGAUGGCCAGUGUGGGAUUCCGACAAGGCAACCUCAUCCUGCUCUGCACUCUCCCCUAGGAUGGUUCCAUGAAAAGUGAUAAACACUGCAGUGCAGGUGGCCUCCCGGAGCACAAGGGUUCCAGAGGGCCAGAGACAACCCCCGGGCCAUUGACGCUGAUCCUGUCCCCAUGCUACGUCUCUAAUUCUCCAGGUCUCAGCUGCAGAGGGCCUGAGUACGUACAGUUCCCACACCUUCCAGGCUCUGCAGAUGCUGUGGCCGGGGGCGCAUUUGAGAACCACCGUCACUCUUACCUUGAAGUGGACGUGUGGGUUCACAGACUAGAAAAGACCAGCUGCUUCCCAGGCAGGUGGGGAGAGUAGAGGUUACAAUUUGGACCUGUCUCCCGGAGGCACAUGUGGUGAAGCCUUGGUUCCCAGCUUGGAAUUAUUGGGAGCUAGUUUGUAGUAUAACAGGAGAGGCCUGGGGAGACGUAGGGGCCAGACUUCCUCUCUCUUUUGUCUCCCAGCCUUUGAGGGGAGCACCGUGUGUGGCAAGGCUCCCUGGCGUGCUCUGACACCACAUCUCAAGGAAACAGUAAGUUGUCAUGAACUGAAACCUCUGCCACCAUGAACUGAGUCAGUCUUGUCCCUCCUGGAGCAGGACAUUUGGGUCCUUGCACGCUCUGUUGGGGCCCAGGUGCAACCAAGUGGGUUAUCUCAAUGUGGCUGGGCGCCAUGUUGUUCUGGGAGACCACGGGAUGCAGAUGGGCUGGUGUAGGGACAGGGCUGGCAUCCACACCAGGGCGCACUGUGCUGCCCCUGUCUCACCACGGGUCAGUGUGGAGGUCUCACUAGGACACUCCAUCCCUAGGGAAGCCACGUGGUCUCCACAGUGUAGAACGGAGACCUUUUGGGGGCGAAGCAGACAUGGGGUGAGGACUGAGGCGCCCUGGAGACGGAUCCCAACACUGGCCCUUUCAGCCGGGUGAUGUGACAGGUUCUCCUCCCUCCACAGUCCGGCUUCCCAGCUCUAAGGAGGAGUCACGACAGUACUCGCUCUCGAGGCCCUGGGGAGGAGUCAGGGCAGCUCAAGCCAGGUCCUUGGUGGGGGGGGCUGGGGUCUUUGCUAUUCUGGGUUUGAAAUGCUGGCCUGUCGCCUGCUCUGGUGGACUCCAUUUCCAAGCAAUACUCAACAGUUGUCCAAUGGUGUCAGCAGCAGUGUUGAAGUCACAGGCAAAUGAGAAGGCCCACCCGAUGCCUCCUCUCCUUACAGACCUGCUUAUGUUUCCCUCCCAGACGCCCCUCCUGCUGGGUUAUAAGUCUUAGGGUGGGGAUGGGAAGGACUCACACCCACUGUGACGGUCAUCUUCCUGUUACUGUGUCAAAAUUCCCAAAAUAAAGCAUCCCUCUGAACAGA